UAAGAUAAACAAACAACAUGCUUGCCGCCACUGCAUUAAAUUUGUUUCGUGCGUCUGGUGAACGGUCUUGCAGGAUUUUAUCAUGUAGAGCUGCAUCCCAAAAUACGAAAAUAAGCCUGGAUAAUAAAACGCUGGCAGCUGAUUGAGACUGAGAUGAAUCCCCAAGUCCAGGAAUGGGAAAAAGCUGACCAGUGGCCUGGUUAUAAGGUUCUGAGACACUCCUGGGGACUACAAAGCUCAUAGGAGUCAAACUUGUCAGAAAUAUAGACAAGUUGGGAAUGUGAUGCUCUGACACAGGCCACAUAUUCUAUGGUGAUGUCUGAGUCCCUGCCAAGAAUAUCAAGAAAGAAUGGUGUUUAUUUAGCAAGUGAUGCAGGUACUGGUGAGCCAGCUAUACAGAGACUUGCGUUUGUAUUCCGUUGGAGAGGGUGCAGAUGAGAUUAUGUUGACAGUUAUCAGCAAAUAUAUUGAGAUUCUAAAACAAUCUAAAAUUAAUUGAACAAAGGAUGGAAGGCUGAAUGUCAAUAGAUUUGUAUACAUAUUUUUAUAAUAAAACUAAAGAUUAUAAGGUU